rnacentral:rRNA from 1 species
UACAGAGGUCUCAAGCGUUGUUCGGAUUUACUGGGCGUAAAGGGCGCGUAGGCGGCCAGUGCAAGUCAGUUGUGAAAUCUCCGAGCUUAACUCGGAAAGGUCAACUGAUACUGCUCGGCUAGAGUGCGGAAGGGGCAACUGGAAUUCUUGGUGUAGCGGUGAAAUGCGUAGAUAUCAAGAGGAACACCUGCGGCGAAGGCGGGUUGCUGGGCCGACACUGACGCUGAAGUGCGAAAGCUAGGGGAGCGAACGGG